UUUGGAUUUUAGGUAUUCGCUUUGGUUCUUUAGAAUUUGAGAGGAAAGUCCGGACACCGUAGGGUAUGAUUCCUCGUGAAAACGGGGGCGCUUCGAUUCAAGUCGAGGUGACGGCUAGUGUCACAGAGAAUAAACCGCCCUGAUUUUUUUCAGGGUAAGGGUGAAAAGGUGGGGUAAGAGCCCACCGCGCUUUCGGGUAACUGGAGCGGCAUGAUAAACCCAUUCUGGUGCAAGACGAAAUAGGGGAUCGGGCGGCCCGUCCUAUGAUCCCGGGUAUGUCGCGCUCCACUUGUGGAGAACAGACUUGUCUGUUAGAUAAAUGAAUACCCGCCCCUCGGGGUGACAAAAUCCGGCUUACGAAGUCCAAAGCUA
rnacentral:RNase_P_RNA from 1 species